AGCUCAAAUUUGAAAUCCUGCGGGAAUUGUAAUUUGAAGGUUUCGUGGUCUGAGUCGGCCGCGCCCAAGUCCAUUGGAACAUGGCGCCUGGGAGGGUGAGAGCCCCGUAUGGCGCACGCCGACUCUUUGCACCGCGGCUCCGACGAGUCGAGUUGUUUGGGAAUGCAGCUCUAAGUGGGUGGUAAAUUCCAUCUAAAGCUAAAUAUUGGCGAGAGACCGAUAGCGAACAAGUACAGUGAUGGAAAGAUGAAAAGCACUUUGAAAAGAGAGUGAAACAGCACGUGAAAUUGUUGAAAGGGAAGGGCUUGCAAGCAGACACGGUUUUACCGGGCCAGCGUCGAAAAGGGGGGAGGAACAAGAACUCGAGAAUGUGGCGCGCACCUUCGGGCGCGCGUGUUAUAGCUCGUGUUGACGCCUCCAUCCCUUUUCGAGGCCUGCGAUUCUAGGACGCUGGCGUAAUGGUUGCAAGCCGCCCGUCUUG
rnacentral:rRNA from 1 species